UAAACUUAGGUCUGUGGUUGAAAAUCGAUGCCAGUCGCAGGCGAAACGAUCCACGUAAGCCGGCUAAAGGUCGGUGAGCAUGGUGCGGCUUAGAAGUAAGUCUGACCUAUGGUGGUAUGGAAGGUUAAGAUGUACAUGGAUAUUAUCCUAUGAGUUUCAAACUUUCCGAUUACUGCUAUAGAGAGGGGAAGUAGUGGGAGGCUAAGGUCUUGAGCGAAACCCCCAGUCAGCGGAUGUGGGGGCAAAGACCAGGUCAGCUGAGUUUA
rnacentral:ncRNA from 1 species